GAACGCUAGCUACAGGCUUAACACAUGCAAGUCGAGGGGAAACGAUAUUGGAAGCUUGCUUCCGAUAGGCGUCGACCGGCGCACGGGUGAGUAACGCGUAUCCAACCUGCCCAUCACUUGGGGAUAACCUUGCGAAAGUAAGACUAAUACCCAAUGACGUCUCUAGAAGACAUCUGAAAGAGAUUAAAGAUUUAUCGGUGAUGGAUGGGGAUGCGUCUGAUUAGCUUGUUGGCGGGGUAACGGCCCACCAAGGCGACGAUCAGUAGGGGUUCUGAGAGGAAGGUCCCCCACAUUGGAACUGAGACACGGUCCAAACUCCUACGGGAGGCAGCAGUGAGGAAUAUUGGUCAAUGGACGAGAGUCUGAACCAGCCAAGUAGCGUGCAGGAUGACGGCCCUAUGGGUUGUAAACUGCUUUUAUAGGGGAAUAAAGUGAGCCACGUGUGGUUUUUUGCAUGUACCCUAUGAAUAAGGACCGGCUAAUUCCGUGCCAGCCGCCGCGGUAAUACGGAAGGUCCGGGCGUUAUCCGGAUUUAUUGGGUUUAAAGGGAGCGUAGGCCGGAGAUUAAGCGUGUUGUGAAAUGUAGAUGCUCAACAUCUGAACUGCAGCGCGAACUGGUUUCCUUGAGUACGCAUAAAGUGGGCGGAAUUCGUGGUGUAGCGGUGAAAUGCUUAGAUAUCACGAAGAACUCCGAUUGCGAAGGCAGCUCACUGGGGCGCAACUGACGCUGAAGCUCGAAAGCGCGGGUAUCGAACAGGAUUAGAUACCCUGGUAGUCCGCGCGGUAAACGAUGGAUGCCCGCUGUUGGGCCAACUGGUUCAGCGGCCAAGCGAAAGCAUUAAGCAUCCCACCUGGGGAGUACGCCGGCAACGGUGAAACUCAAAGGAAUUGACGGAAGGG
rnacentral:rRNA from 1 species